UCCCUGGAGGUCCAGUGGUUAGGACUUGACACUUGCAGUGUCAAGGUCCAGGUUCAAUCCCUGAUUGGGGAA
rfam:TPA: Bos taurus chromosome 19, whole genome shotgun sequence.